rnacentral:rRNA from 1 species
UGCGAUAAGUAAUGUGAAUUGCAGAAUUCAGUGAAUCAUCGAAUCUUUGAACGCACCUUGCGCUCCUUGGUAUUCCGAGGAGCAUGCCUGUUUGAGUGUCANUAAAUUCUCAACCUUCCAGCUUUUUAUAAGCUUGGUUAGGCUUGGAUGUGGGGGUUGUGGGCUUCAUUAAUGAGGUCAGCUCUCCUUAAAUGCAUUAGCGGAACUUUUGUGGACCGUCUAUUGGUGUGAUAAUUAUCUACGCCGUGGAUGUGAAGCAGAUUUAUGAAGUUCAGCUUCUAACCGUCCAUUGACUUGGACAUUUUUGACAAUUUGACCUCAAAUCAGGUAGGACUACCCGCUGAACUUAAGCAUAUCAAUAAGCGGAGGAAAAGAAACUAACAAGGAUUCCCCUAGUAACUGCGAGUGAAGCGGGAAAAGCUCAAAUUUAAAAUGCUGCUCGGUCAUU